ACGGGAUGCGAUCUAGAUGUCCACGAGACUAUUUUACGAUGUGAGCUAGAUGUCUAUGACUCCACAGGAGCGUAUCCUUACUUUCGAUUCACUUAUGGAUGCUUUGAUUCAUUCUGAAACACUGGAGAUUGAAAAUCAUAAGCUGGUUGUUUCCAAAUUUAUUAGAGUCAUCAAGAUCCUGUUAUGUUUUUAAGGGUGUGCUUUCUG
rnacentral:misc_RNA from 1 species